GCUGUGGGGCGACGCGACACUGGCAUGAGGCGGGGAGGGAGCUACCGGAUUCCCCCUGAUGGGUCCUCAGAGACUGAGCCUCGUCCAUGCCCGGGGCGGGUUCGCGGUAUCGCAGCCCCCUCACCUCCGCUCCCUCCGCCACAUGCGCAGCCAGGGGAAAAAGUAGAAACAGCCCCAGUAGAUCCUGCAAAGAGAGGGCAGAGCCGGGCCGGGCGGGGGCGGGCCGGAGCUGACCCCACAGACUCCGCCCUGCGGUGCCUUGCCUUCGAGGAAGGCUCCGCCCCGCCCCUAGCCCCGCCCCUAAAAGCGGCUCCGUUCGCAGCCCACGCCCCUCGUAGGCUCGCCCCGCCCACCCAUCGCCCCCGCAGAACUCCACCCUCCCCCACCCCGGAGCCUCCUGGUUCCUCCUCCGCAGAACCCGCCUCCACUCACUCUUCCUCCGCCUCCAGCGCCACCUCGUAUCUCCUCAUUCCCGACAUGUCCUGGGCUCCGAACGUCUCCUGGGGAGUGACAUGAUUGAAUCAGGGAUUCCCUAGCCUCAGGUCCCCUUCUCCGUCAUGCUCAGGACGAGGCUGCCCGGUUCUCAGAUACAAGGAAAAGUAACACCUGGAUGUGAAAAAGAAAAAGAACUUCACAAAGGAUGCUCGCUGAAGCUUAAGACAUGUUUCGCAGCCUCAAACUCCUGGGCUCACGAGAUCCUCCCACUUCAGCCUCUCAAAGUGUUUGGAUUACAGGUUCAACUCUGUCACCCAGGCUGGAGUGCAGUGGUGUGAUCAUGGCUCACUGAAAUCACCGCCUCCUGGGCUCAAGUGAUCCUCCCACCUCAACCUCCCCAGGAGCUGCAACUACAGGCAAGCACCACUGCGCCUGGCUAAUUUUUCUGGUUUUUUUUUUUUUUUUUUUUUUUUUGUGUGUGUGUGUGUGUGUGUAGACGAGGUUUCUCCAUGUCUAGCCCAGGCUAGUCUUGAACUCCUGGGCUCAAACGAUCUGUCUGCCUCAGCCUCUUGAGGAGCUGGGACCACAGGCAUGUGACACCACGUCUGGCUACUGUUUUAAUUUUUUUUUUUCUAGAGAUGAGGUCUUGCUAUGUUGCCCAGUCUGGCCUCGAACCCCUGGGCUCAAGUGAUCCUCCUGCCUUGGCCUCCCAAAGUGCUGGAGAGUGACUGCCCCUGGUCUGUAGCAUACCAUUUUGUUUCCUUUUUGUUUUCCUUUUCUAUGUAUUUAUUUUGUAGUUAUUUUCCUAAUGGAUACCUUGGUGAUUAUAAUUAACAUUCUAAACUUAUAACAACCUAGUUUGAAUAAUACCAACUUAGUUUCAAUACUAUAUAAACACUUUGCUCCUAUACAUUUUAGUCCCUUCUUUGUAUUGUUAUUGUCACAGAUUACAUCUUCAUACAUUGUGUCCCUGUUGACAUAGAUUUAUAAUUAUUGCUAAAUACAUUUGCCUUUUAAAUUAUAUAGAAAAUAGUGGAGCUACAAACUAAAAAUACAAUACUAGCCUUUAUGUUUUUGUUUUUUUUUCUUUGACACAGGGUCUCGCUUUGUCACCUAGGCUGGAGUGUGGAGGCACGAUCUCAGCUCACAGAAGCCUCGAACUCCCAGGCUCAAGUGAUCUCUCCACCUCAGCCUCCCGAGUAGCGGGGCCACAAUACCUGGCUAAUUUUUGUAUUUUUUGUAGACACAAGGUCUCACUAUGUUGCCCACGCUGGUCUCAAAUGUCUGAGCUCGAACAAUCCACCCGCUUUGGCCUCCUAAAGUGAUAGGAUUACAAGUGUGAAGCACCACACCUGACUAUGUUGUCACUUUCUUUUUUUUUUGAGGCAGUCUCACUCUUUUGCCCAGACUAGAGUACAGUGGGGUGAUCUUGGCUCACUGCAACCUCCGCCCCCCGGGGUUUAAGACAUUCUCCUGCCUCAGCCUCCCAAGUAACUGGGAUUAUAGGCAUCCACCACCACAUCCAUCUAAUGUUUCUGUUUUUUGUAGAGAUGGGGUUUCACCAUGUUGGCCAGACUGGUCUCAAACUCCUGACCUCAAGCGAUCUGCUCACUUUGGCUUCCCAAAGUGCUGGGAUUGCAGGCACAAGCCACUGCACACAGCCUGCUAUGUCGUUAUCUUUAUCAGAGACCUUUGUUUAUUUUCCUGGCUGUGAGUUAUUAUUUUUUUGUCCUUUUGUUUCAUUCUGAAGGUCUCCUUUUAGCAUUUAUUUUUUCUUCUUUUUUUUGUUUAUUUUAUUUAUUUAUUGUUUUCUCCCUUUAGUUUUUCUUAUAGGGAUGUCUACUAUUAAUGAACUCCCUAAGUUUUGUUUAUCUGGAAGUGUUAUUUCUUUCUUUUUUUUUUUAACUUUCAUGAAUACUCAUUGUUUAUUUAGAAAAGUUUAAAAAGCUCCCAGUGAGUUCAUUAGUUAUCAAACGCACAUGAGUUAGACCCACUCUGCUUUGGUUUUUCGUCUUCAUAAUAAGUCAGCAAAAGUUGACAUUUAUCUUACUGGGCAUUUCCCAUUAGCCUGAACUGAAAUAGAUACCAAACAUUCUAGAUUCUUUAUGGUGCACAGUAUCUGGAGUCACAGCAAUUUUAGAGACAAGCUAGUGCAAUCAAGUAAUUUUCAGUCACAGAACUGAGGCCUAGAAGUGAUUUGUGCAUGUGAGUAGCUAGAACCAGGACAAGAACUCCAGAACCAGGGACCACGUCAGAGUUGUUCCUACAACAACUGACACAUUUCAGGUGGAAAAAACAAAUCACGUAACUGAAAACCAAAAUUUCAGUUACAUAACUGUUUUAUAUUAGCUUCCUAUGUAUAAAGCACAAAAACUCAGCUAUACAUGUUAUAAAAUUAUACAAACUUGACCUGUUUAAGGCCAAAAAUUUUUAUAAGGACAUACUUAUACAAAUUUCAUAAACGAUGGCCAUUUUUAGAAAAAGUUAUAUUUGCCCCCGAACAUAAUAGUCAUAAUUUGCUUUCAAAACAAACUCGAAGUAAAGAUUGGACUUUAAGCUUCCAAGCUGAUCUGCUUGUAACAGGUCUUUCACUUCUGGUAAGUACUCACUGAGCCAAAUGCCAUCUUUUAAAAGUUUCUGUAAGAUCUUCACAAAUAUGCUGUCUUUAGAUACUUCAAUUGGAUCAUCUUUGCCAUCAGAACUGGACCAGUUAUCUCUCUGAAGAGCUUUGCAAAGGAUCUCCAGUUUUAGAUCACUUAUAUUUACAUCUUCUUCCUCAUCAAUAUAUUCCAGCAAGUCCAAAGCUUUCUUGAAAUCAUAUUCAUUAGCUCUUCUAUUUUCUUCACAGAUAUAUAGACCAAUGAGUUGCUUUGUGGUCAAUACUGGCAUCACACUGAGCUGUUUCUCCGCUAGCAGCUGUUCAGAUACCAACGGAAGAGAAAGUCUGAAAAAUUCUGAUCAGCAAACUGGGUCAUGUAGCGCUGGAGUCGGCUCUGGUUGUCAGUUUGCUCACACAUUUAUACCAAGAUAUCAAAGUCACAGUAUUUCUCUGCUAGAGAAGCAGCCCACAGAGAUGGGAGUCUCCCUGUGUUGCCUACGAUGGUCUUGAACCCUUGGUCUCAAGAAAUCCUCCUGCCUCGGCCCUCCACAAAGUGCUGUGAUUACAGGCAUGUACUAGUGUGCCUGGCCAUGGUUUCUGUGUUUUAAGUCACACUUAGAAAGGUUUUUCCCUACCUGAAGUUUAAAAAUGUUCUAAUUCUUCAGGUCAUCAUGGUUUCAUUACUUUUGAUAGAUGAAUGAAGUUAGAACCUGUAUUAGUUAAGAAUUGCAUUCAGGUACAUCUAAUAGAGAUUCAACUACAAAAUAGGGUUUCUCAGCAUUCCUGGAUUCCUCUUAGGAUAAAGGAGAGUUGGAUGUAGCAUUACUUUCACUCUUUAAAGAAAAGAAAUCACACAUACAAGAAGAAAAGAAAUCACAAGACACUGCAAAUUCACAACUUUUCUUGAAUUUGUCAGCAAGCUGAAGUUCUAGGUAAACUCAAUUAACCUUAAUCUAAGGAAAGACAUCGCAAAGGAGAUGUGGUACAGGUGCACUUGCUUAUUUGGAGCCAACUCCCCCACUCCCCUCCAGUCAAGCUUGUAAGAAUCCAGAUAAAAGUUUUAAUGAAUUGCUAAAGGCCAACUGUAGCCCAGCAUGAGCAUACAGAAACCCUGGGCUUACAAGUACGGGGAGAAUUCACACACACUUGCAGGGUCCUUUACAUGAACCUUACUGUGUAUUCACAAGAAAGACUGGGGGAAGUGUGAGAGUUCUGAAAAAAAUAUCCCGUGUGGUACAAGCCUGGGGAAAAUGAAGAGCAGCUGCUGAAGGGAAAAGCAUCAAGUCCUUCCCAGAUUCUUCUCCCUUCUCUUCUCUGUGGAAACAAAAGCCUUAAGCUGCUGGGUGAAGGGCAGUAAGUCCUAUCGUUAGGCUGUAAAUCACUUACAGGUGAAGACCCAUUGCAGCUGGAAAAAGGGAAAAGAAAAAAUUCUCUACCUUUGUAGGCCCUAGACCAUUAGAAGUAUUUCAGCUGGGGGUGGCAUAGGCUCAGGGAGAAGGCCCUUCCUUGAGACUCAGGGGCACAGUGCUUGUCUAAAACUGAAGCUGAAUCAGUAAAACAGAGAAUCUCACCACCCCGACCAACCAGGCUAAUAAGCAGCAAGUAACGACUGCAGUCUGCUACUGAAAUAGCAUCAAGAGCAUGGAGGAAGACAUUGAGCAAACCUCUGGCAAGUCAGCCUCAACAAUAAACACAAACUUAAUAUUAGAGAAGCCUGGAGUCUGUUAUGCACUGACAGUAACAUAGCAAGAACAAAACCCAAACACAGCUGAGCUUCUGACUAGACUGAAUCAAUCUCCCAUACUAAAGUCCUAGCAGAAGGAAAGGGAUGAUCAUUUUCGAGCAUAAAAAUGAUUUAGCUCAGUCUUUGCUCCCUUACCAUAGACGUCCAGCUUUCAACAAAAUAUUCUUACAAGGCAUAUGAGGAAACAAGAGAAAAUCACCAAGAGACAAAGCAAUGAACAUAACCAGACUUAGAUAUGAUACAUAUAUUGAAAUUAUCAGACAGAGAAACUGAAGGAACUACAUUUAGUAUGCCAAAGGACCUAGUGGAAAUGGCAGACAGCCUUCAUGAUCAGAUGGGUAAUUUUUUCAGAGAGAUGGCAACUCUAAGAAAGAAUAAAAUGACAAUUCUGGAAAUAGGAAACAUAGUUACACAGAUAAAGGUUGCUUUUGUCAGGCUUACCAGUAGUUGUUCUUUUUCCUUCACAGUGGAGGAAAAAUAAGUGAACCUGAAGAUAGUUCCAUAGAAAUUAUCCAACAUGAAACGGAAAGAAAAAAGUGAAAAAAGCAAAACAAUGCCAGAACAGAGCAUCCAAGAGCUGUGGCACAAUAUUAAACAAUCAUGCAUAUUUUCAAUUGACAUGCUAGGAGAAUAGAAAGACAAUGGAACAGAAGAAAUAUGUGAAGAAAUAAUGGCCAUGGAUUAAAAAAAAAAAGAAAAGCAACUUUUUUUUUGAGACAGCGUCUCACUGUCACCCAGACUGGAGUGCAGUAGCACAAUGAUGGCUCACUGCAGCCUUGAUCUCUCAGCUGCAAGAGACCCUCCCACCUCAGCAUCCUGAGUAGCUAUGACUAUAGGCAUGCACCAUCUCACCUGGUUAAUUUUUUAUAUUUUGUAGAUACAGGGUCUCCGUAUAUUGCCCAGGCUGCUCUUGAAUUCCUGGGCUCAAGUGAUCCUUCCACCUUGGCCUCCCAAAUUGUUGGGAUUACAGGCAUAAGCCGCCAUGCCUGGCUAAAAUUUUUAAAAUUAAUGAUAGAUACCAAGCUAAAAAUCCAAGAAGCUCAGAGAAUACUGACCAGGGUAAACAUUUAAAGACACAGCUAGACAUGUAUUAUUUGAACUGCUGAGAAAUGAAGACAAAGAUGCUAAAGGCAGCUUGAGAAAAAAGGAAACAUUACAUAAAGAGUAACAAAGAUAAGAAUUACAGUAGACUUCUGGUCAAAUCUAUGUAAGCUAGAAGACAGUGGAGUGGCAUCUUUAAAGCACUGAAAGAGAAAAGUGUCAGCCUGGGAUUCUAUAUCACACAAUGAUAUAUUUCAAAAAUGAGAGAGAAAUAAAUACUUUUGGUUUUUUAGGCCGCUAGGGUUUCUCUUCUUCAUAAAACAGGAAGUUGGCUGCUAAUCUUGAUUCUCCCACUUCUUCCUAGCUAACUGAACCCAUAUUUUAAAAAUUAAGGUAAAAUUUACAUGUCAUAAAUUCACCAUUUAACUAUUUUAAAGUGUUUAAUUCAGUAGGUUUUAGUACAUUCACAACAUUGUGCAAUUAUCACCACUAAUCCUAGAACAUUUUCAUCACUCUCAAAGAGAAACCCUGUACGUAUCAGGCAGUCAACUACUAUUCUAACCUCCUCCUAGUCUGUGGCAACCGUGAAUCUGCUUUCUAUCUCUAUGGAAUUUCCUAUACUGAAUAUUUCAAAUAAAUGGAAUCAUAGAAUAUGUAA